UUGGAUUCAGAGUUUUUGAUGAAGGAAGACGAUGAAUCGACGACCGGCGGCGGUGCUACUUGUUCUGCAACGUCUUGAGUUGCAGAUGCAAAUGGAACAUGUGCUCCUGGUUCUGGAACAUCUUGAGGUGCUGAUGUAGAUGGAACAGGUAUAGAUGCAGACGGAACAGGUAUAGAUGCAGAUGGAACAUCUAGAUUUGCUGCUCGUUCAAUGACCUGAGUUGCAGAUGCAGAUAGAGCAGCUGCUGCUGUUGCUGUAAUUUCUGCCUCAGACCC
rnacentral:lncRNA from 1 species